UGGAGUAGUCACUGCUGGUUGUGUCUUAGUGUUGUCACUAAUUCAUGUGACUGAAAUCUCAGCUUCCACUUUUUUUUUUUUUUUCGGUACCUGGGAUCAAACUCGGGUCCUUGCGCUUGCAAGGCAGGUGGCAGAACCACUGAGCUAAAUCCCUGGCCCCUCAGCUUCCACUUUUUUUUUUUUUAGGUCAAACCCUUUAUAGAUUUGGUAUUGAUGAAAUGAUAAGACUAAGAAGAUGCUCAGUAAAGACUAAUUUCUCUCCUCGCUUCCUUGACAGGAUUUGUUCAACCUGUCCACAUCAAUCUGAAAUUACCAGGCACCAGGACUGCAUGCUGUGUGGCUCCGUUUUGUUGAAGUGA
rnacentral:lncRNA from 1 species